CAUAUCAAUAAGCGGAGGAAAAGAAACUAACAAGGAUUCCCCUAGUAACGGCGAGCGAAGCGGGAAGAGCUCAAAUUUGAAAGCUGGCGUCUUCGGCGUCCGCGUUGUAAUCUCGAGACGUGUUUUCCGUGCGGCUCUAUGGACAAGUCCCUUGGAACAGGGCAUCGUAGAGGGUGAAAAUCCCGUACUUGCCAUGGAAGUACCGUGCUUUGUGAUACACGCUCCAAGAGUCGAGUAGUUUGGGAUUGCUGCUCAAAGUGGGUGGUAGACUCCAUCUAAAGCUAAAUAUCGGGGAGAGACCGAUAGCGAACAAGUACCGUGAGGGAAAGAUGAAAAGCACUUUGGAAAGAGAGUUAAAAGUACGUGAAAUUGUCGAAAGGGAAGCACUUGAAGUCAGCCAUGCUGCUUGAGACUCAGCCUGGCUUUUGCUUGGUGUAUUUCUCGGUAGCAAGCCAGCAUUGGUUUGUGUCGUCGGAGAAGCGUAUGGGGAAUGUGGCAUCCUCGGAUGUGUUAUAGCCCUGUGCAGGAUACGACGACGUAGACCAAGGAACGCAGUGUGCCCUCUGGGCGGGUCUUCGGACACCUUCACACUUAGGAUGCUGGCGUAAUGGCUUUAAGUGGCCCGUCUUGA
rnacentral:rRNA from 1 species